rnacentral:rRNA from 1 species
GACGAACGCUGGCGGCGUGCCUAAUACAUGCAAGUCGAGCGGACCGGAUUGGGGCUUGCCUUGAUUCGGUCAGCGGCGGACGGGUGAGUAACACGUGGGCAACCUGCCCGCAAGACCGGGAUAACUCCGGGAAACCGGAGCUAAUACCGGAUAACACCGAAGACCGCAUGGUCUUCGGUUGAAAGGCGGCCUUUGGGCUGUCACUUGCGGAUGGGCCCGCGGCGCAUUAGCUAGUUGGUGAGGUAACGGCUCACCAAGGCGACGAUGCGUAGCCGGCCUGAGAGGGGGACCGGCCACACUGGAACUGAGACACGGCCCAGACUCCUACGGGAGGCAGCAGUGGGGAAUCUUCCGCAAUGGGCGAAAGCCUGACGGAGCGAGGCCGCGUGAGGGAAGAAGGCCUUCGGAUCGUAAAGCUCUGUUGGGGGGGAGGAAGGGGAGUGUUUUAAAAAGGGGGGGGCGGGACGGUACCCACAGAAAAAGGCCCGGCUAAAUUCGUG